UCAGGACGAACGCUGGCGGCGUGCUUAACACAUGCAAGUCGAACGCACCUUCGGGUGAGUGGCGGACGGGUGAGUAACGCGUAGGUAAUCUACUCUUCAGUGGGGGAUACCCAGCCGAAAGGUUGGUUAAUACCGCAUACGCUCCUGUGCAGAGAGGUACAGGAGGAAAGGUUUACUGCUGAGGAAUGAGCCUGCGUCCGAUUAGCUAGUUGUGGGGUAAAGGCUCACCAAGGCGACGAUCGGUAGCUGGUCUGAGAGGACGAUCAGCCACACUGGAACUGAGACACGGUCCCAGACUCCUACGGGAGGCAGCAGUGGGGAAUUUUCCGCAAUGGGCGAAAGCCUGACGGAGCAACGCCGCGUGGGUGAUGAAGUUUUUCGGAACGUAAAACCCUUUCGCCAGGGACGAAGCGAGUGACGGUACCUGGAGAAGAAGCAUCGGCUAACUACGUG
rnacentral:rRNA from 1 species